rnacentral:lncRNA from 1 species
CAAAGUUUUAAGCUUUCAAAUUAAUUAAAAAUAUAUAUAAAAGUGACAAAAUAAUACUGUGCAAUAGGUGUAGGUGUCUUUUGAAUUUGAAUCUCACUUAGUAAUAACAAUUUCCAUUUGAGGGAGCCAUAAUGGACCGAACCUUGAAUUAGGUCUCUUUGGCCAAAUUUCAAUUGUUCCACACACAGUAUCAAUUUAGGUUCAGUUCAUAGUGGGUAGCGCUGUUAAUGACCAUGCGCUCUAAUCUCGAUUCUAGUAAGAGUCUCUAGGGAAUAGUCAUAUCUCAUAGCUACGGCCUCAUAGCAACUCUUACAUAAAUGAGUCCUCCAAAGGUGUGUGUGACCCACACCUUGCGAGAAUUCUUGCCUUGGUACUCAUUCUGUGUUAAACCCUUUCUAACAUCAUAUUAUUAUUAGCACUAUAUCACCAUGGGGAUGAGCACAAAGAAAAUUGUGCUAUACAAGUCACGCGGUACGGGUUGUUUCUACCACAUUGAACCUUCUUCAUGGGAUCUCCAAUCACGAAGGUUGAGUUACUCCUGGAGGUGACUUCCUUAUGGGCUUAAACUCAUCCCCCUCGAUAAUUUAUGUAUGUCCAUCUCGGACUACAUAUAUUCAUGUCCUUCUUGGACAACAAAUUAGUACCAUUAAUUUGCAAAGCUCUUAUUUUCUCCUUGCAUAUCUGCACAUCUGCAAAAUCUUCUAAAAACCUUUCAAAAUAUCAAAGUCACAUUAAGUAUAAUAAGAUAAAAUUGACUUUUAGUCACAUGUUUGAACACGUGCAUCCAUUCAACUUUUAUAUUUCAUUUGCAUGUCUCCAAUUUCUAACACUUUUCAAAAGUUAGUUUUACACAUAAGGAAAUAAAGAUUUAAGAUGUAUUUAUCUAAGAUUUUAAACACCUCCGCAUUUUAAAGAUAUAAUAAUUCAUUACCAAAUAAUAUCUCAAUCUCCCUAUAUUACAAUAUAAUAUUGAUCUUUGUAGUCAACUAAGACUGUCCAAGACUAUUCAAAUGUUAAUCAUCAAUGCACUGGAAUAUAGUUAAUAGCAACAAAUAAUGAGAUAUAAUUUUCAAGUCCAAUGUGCCCUAGAGUGUUGUAUGGUCUAGCCCUGAAGUGCUUCUUGGCUCUCCAGUUUCCUUUCCAUCUUUCCUAGUUAGUCACUAACUUCAAAACGAUAUGCCUUAAUAUGACAUUAGUAGAAGAGGAGGCUUCUCUUUCUUAGAUUUCGUUGCUUUUUGC